rnacentral:rRNA from 1 species
AACGAACGCUGGCGGCAGGCCUAACACAUGCAAGUCGAGCGAAGCCUUCGGGCUUAGCGGCGGGCGGGUGAGUAACGCGUGGGAACGUGCCCUUUGGUACGGAAUAGCCCCGGGAAACUGGCAGUAAUACCGUAUGUGCCCUUCGGGGGAAAGAUUUAUCGCCAAAGGAUCGGCCCGCGUUGGAUUAGGUAGUUGGUGGGGUAAUGGCCUACCAAGCCGUCGAUCCAUAGCUGGUUUGAGAGGAUGAUCAGCCACACUGGGACUGAGACACGGCCCAGACUCCUACGGGAGGCAGCAGUGGGGAAUCUUAGACAAUGGGGGAAACCCUGAUCUAGCCAUGCCGCGUGAUCGAUGAAGGCCUUAGGGUUGUAAAGAUCUUUCAGUGGGGAAGAUAAUGACUGUACCCACAGAAGAAGCCCCGGCUAACUCCGUGCCAGCAGCCGCGGUAACAC